rnacentral:sRNA from 1 species
UAACCCUAAACCGUAAACCUUAACGCUAAACCUUAAACCAUAACUCUAAACCGUAAACCGUACACCCUAAACCUUAAAACCUAAACCCUAAACGCAAAACCUUAACAUUAAACCUUAAGCCCUCAAUCCUACUUUAACUUCCGGUUUUUCUUUAUGUUUCUAGUUUUUAUAUUGAAUGAUAAACAAAACAUCAAGUCAUAUUUGACUACAAAACACAAACCAAGCUUCUUCUUGAUUCUCAAAGCUUUGAUGGUGAAGCCGAAGUUUUUGGUUUUGAAUCGUAUAACAAGGAAGCACUACUUUACUUUUCGGGAUCUGGUUGAGGUUCUAGUUUUAUAUUCAAUCAUACACAUGAUAUCUAAACUUAUUUCAGUCCAAAACGCUAACCAAGAUUCUUGCUUCUUAAACUAUUGAU